rnacentral:misc_RNA from 1 species
GUACUCUCACACUCUCAAUCUUUUGGAUCGGGAGCGGUGGACUUGGGUGUUGCUGCUUUACCGCGGCUCGCCUCAAAUGGAUUCGUGCAACUCUCGGUUGGACAUAGUACGGCGUGAUAAGUGUCUUCGCCGGCGCCUCAUUAGAGGGUGGCUGAUCGAGAGCUCUGUGCUUCAAACCGUCUUCGGACAACGACUGACA